UACAGGGGGUGCAAACGUUGCUCGGAAUUACUGGGCGUAAAGCGAGUGUAGGCGGUCUGAAAAGUCGGGUGUGAAAGCCCUGGGCUCAACCCAGGAAGUGCACUCGAAACUGCCAGGCUAGAGUAUCGGAGAGGUUGGUGGAAUUCUCGGUGUAGAGGUGAAAUUCGUAGAUAUCGAGAGGAACACCGGUGGCGAAGGCGGCCAACUGGACGAAUACUGACGCUGAGACUCGAAAGCGUGGGGAGCAAACAGG
rnacentral:rRNA from 1 species